UACGGAGGGAGCGAGCGUUAAUCGGAAUAACUGGGCGUAAAGGGCACGCAGGCGGGCUUUUAAGUGAGAGGUGAAAUCCCCGGGCUUAACCUGGGAAUAGCAUUGGAGACUGGGAGGCUAGAGUACUGUAGGGGGGGGUAGAAUUCCACGUGUAGCGGUGAAAUGCGUAGAUAUGUGGAGGAAUACCGAAGGCGAAGGCGGCCCCUUGGAAAUGGACUGACGCUGAUGUGCGAAAGCGUGGGGAGCAAAUAGG
rnacentral:rRNA from 1 species